UGUAUUCUCAGGAUUCAGGAUCUACCCAGC
rnacentral:piRNA from 1 species